rnacentral:rRNA from 1 species
UAUGGUAAUUGCCAGCCGCCGCGGUAAUACGUAUGGUGCAAGCGUUAUCCGGAUUUACUGGGUGUAAAGGGAGCGCAGGCGGUGCGGCAAGUCUGAUGUGAAAGCCCGGGGCUCAACCCCGGUACUGCAUUGGAAACUGUCGUACUAGAGUGUCGGAGGGGUAAGUGGAAUUCCUAGUGUAGCGGUGAAAUGCGUAGAUAUUAGGAGGAACACCAGUGGCGAAGGCGGCUUACUGGACGAUAACUGACGCUGAGGCUCGAAAGCGUGGGGAGCAAACAGG